rnacentral:lncRNA from 1 species
GGUUGGCCGGGUCACGCCACACAUUUUUUAAACUAGAUACCCACAAUAAGAAUGUGGUCAAAAAUCUAAAAAAAUUUAAGUGGGACAUUUAAUUUACCAAGUAUGAUCUGAUAUCCAAAAUCUAAGAAUAUGGUUAUUUUCAGCAUAUAAAUAAAACCACAAACUUUUUUUAUUUUAGUUGAAAUCAAACGAAGUUUAAUUUUGAAACCU